AGUGAACGCUGGCGGUAGGCCUAACACAUGCAAGUCGAACGGCAGCACAGGAGAGCUUGCUCUCUGGGUGGCGAGUGGCGGACGGGUGAGGAAUACAUCGGAAUCUACUCUGUCGUGGGGGAUAACGUAGGGAAACUUACGCUAAUACCGCAUACGACCUACGGGUGAAAGCAGGGGACCUUCGGGCCUUGCGCGAUUGAAUGAGCCGAUGUCGGAUUAGCUAGUUGGCGGGGUAAAGGCCCACCAAGGCGACGAUCCGUAGCUGGUCUGAGAGGAUGAUCAGCCACACUGGAACUGAGACACGGUCCAGAAUACUACGGGAGGCAGCAGUGGGGAAUAUUGGACAGUGGGCGCAAGCCUGAUCCAGCCAGACCGCGUGGGUGAAGAAGGCCUUCGGGUUGUAAAGCCCUUUUGUUGGGAAAGAAAUCCAGCUGGCUAAUACCCGGUUGGGAUGACGGUACCCAAAGAAUAAGCACCGGCUAACUUCGUGCCAGCCGCCGCCGUAA
rnacentral:rRNA from 1 species